rnacentral:lncRNA from 1 species
CAAAAGGGAGAUUCAUUCAUUGCAGGAGUAGCCUAGUUUGGUUCAAAACUGAAACAUACUGUUUGUCUGAAGCUGGUCCCAAGUUGCUUGCUAUGACAAACAGUACAUGCAAGAUAUACUCAGGAAUACAUAUGCCUCCAAUGGGAAGAGGCCCCAGAUCCUCGUGAGGAAUCGGCAGGAAGAAAACAAUCAUCGUAAAAAGAAACUAUCACGUACAGCUUCCUUCAGUAGAACAGCCACAGUCCUCACCAUUCUCUUCGCUUCCCUUAUACUGACAAAUAGCAUGAUGCCCUUGCCUUCGUUGUCAGCGAUGUCAUCAGCACCCUAUGCCUUAGCAGCUAUCAGCGCAGCCUGCAACAAGAUCCAGGAUUUCAAUUUCGUAGCCGCAAAUUGCUGUAAACUAAGUCCUAAAUGGUUACAAACCAUCAGUUAGCUUCAUUCAGUUCUGAGGUACUCAUUGGUCAGCUACCAACAAAUUAAAGUACAUGGAGUGGUAUACAAUACUUAAUUCAAUUAGCUAACCUGGAUGGUAAGCGCCAAGUUAUCCUAAUUUAGUAGUAGUAUUGUAUACUGCUGUCUCAUUUUCGACGCCGGGUCAAGAUGACCUCAUAGAGGAAAGGAGGGAGAUGAUAAGUAAAUUAGGC